rnacentral:rRNA from 1 species
UUGAACGCUGGCGGCAGGCCUAACACAUGCAAGUCGCGCGGAUGAAGGGAGCUUGCUCCUGGAUUCAGCGGCGGACGGGUGAGUAAUGCCUAGGAAUCUGCCUGGUAGUGGGGGAUAACGUCCGGAAACGGGCGCUAAUACCGCAUACGUCCUGAGGGAGAAAGUGGGGGAUCUUCGGACCUCACGCUAUCAGAUGAGCCUAGGUCGGAUUAGCUUGUUGGUGGGGUAAAGGCCUACCAAGGCGACGAUCCGUAACUGGUCUGAGAGGAUGAUCAGUCACACUGGGAGUGAGACACGGUCCAGACUCCUACGGGAGGCAGCAGUGGGGAAUAUUGGACAAUGGGCGAAAGCCUGAUCAAGCCAUGCCGCGUGUGUGAAGAAGGUCUUCGGAUUGUAAAGCACUUUAAGUUGGGAGGAAGGGCAGUAAGUUAAUACCUGGCUGUUUUGACGUUACCAACAGAAUAAGCACCGGCUAACUUCGUG